UUGGCCCAUUCAAAUGACACACACGCACACACACACACGCUAGCCAAUAGAAAGAAGCCGAUGGGACGUUCAGUGCGGCCCCCGUGGGCGAGCACCCUAGAACCGGUCUGUCCACAACUGCUGCUCUGUUGCAGGCUUUGCGGCGAUGAUGGACAGGAAGUAGGUGUUCCAGCGUGGGAGGUGUGACAAAGACGUAAACGACACCUCAGCUCACCAUUUCAUUAGAGUACAAGAGUAUCGACUGCGUGCCGCUCAGCUCUUCGCAGACAGCAAGUGGAACAAGGCCGCGCCCUCGCAGCGUCACCUGCGAGACGUCAGAAAGCCCGCAGGAAUGAUGUCACUGACUUCCUCACGUCUGAACGUACGCAUAUAAAGCCUGCCGGCUCUCCCAUCAGCUGGACCGCAGCAUGAUGAUGACGGUGAUGGUGAAGAUGCCGCGUCACAAGAUGAGAAGGAUCACCAUGAAGACAACAGUAUCAACAUCAUCUGGUGUAUUUCAGCAGUUCAACCGUCAGCCGUGGGAGAGAAGCGGAACCCGUACCCACAAGGCCUUGCGUUUUGACUGCGAAGCCAGGCGGACCAGGCGGUGCACCUGCUGAUUCCCACAACCCGCCUGCCAAACUUUUGCAACUUUUGACGGGAGUGAAACUGGCCCUCAGCCAGAGGAGGACUUGGUUGACUCCUCCUGACACAAUCGCCAAAUUACGGAAAAUCCUGGGAGAAGAAGCAGAAGGAGAAUAGAUGACUAAGCCCGUGAGACAGCGAGGUGAGCCGGGACUCUGGGAGCGUAAAACUGGUCCAAUGUGGCCCGCCCUGUUGCACAACACGCACACAUCUCUCAAAAGAUGACACGCUCCCCCUUUUGAUGUUGGGCAAAGCAUCUGUGCUUUGUCUUUGGACGGAAGAGCGUAAAACAUUUUGACUGCAUCAUAAAUAAUAAGCGCAGGCAUUCAAGUGCAUUCGGGACAGCUGGCCUUGACCCUGCCGGGUCCAUCACAGCGCUGACCUGAACCUAAACCCCAAAACGUCCCUCACCUCUUUCACAUGCACCUUAUCAUUAAGGGGUCUUUCACAAAAUGUUCCAUUUGGAGAACAGUUGUCUGUUUACAAGCUUGGUGACCAUAUUUGGUUCCUUGCCCUGUCAAGUUAGCGCUGUAGUUGUUUUUGGCCAUUCUGCUUAGAAAUAAACACAAAUGACAAGCUUUAAUGGUGCAGCGACAUACUAAUAUCAUCAUGGAAUUCUACAAAUACAAUAUAUGUAAUCAAAUAUGAAUCAUAGCUAUAAUUAUUCAAAUAUUAAUGAAAUUAUGAAUAUCAAAUUAUAAUAAUAGAGCAAAAAUGGUUCAAUGUUUUUGGAGGUUUUUUUCUCUGUUUUUGGGCGUUUAUACACAAUUUUGUGGUACAUUUGCAUUCAAUAGAAGCUGCCCUCUUAAAAAAAAAAAAAAAAAAACGAGCUGAUCCUGUCUGGAGUAUUCCAAAAGUCUGUUUUGUUGUGAAAUAAUUGUGACAAAAAGUUACAAAAGAUGUUUUUGAACUCCAACACCUCCAUCACCUUCUGUGCCGCUUAUCCGGUAUGCUGGAGCCCAUCCCAGCUGACUUCGGGCGAGAGGGCAAGGUCAUUCAAAGUGCUUUACAGAAAAGAAAGGUAAAAUAACUUAAGAAAUCAUCAAAUCUUUUGAAAAUGAUUACGUAAAAUUCUAUGAAAUCAUUCUGUAAAAGUAAAAAUGAAUUAAAAGUGAAGAGUGCAGAUAAAAUACUGCCAGUUGUCGUAUGCACAGCUACAUAGAACUGUUUUCAAAUAU